rnacentral:lncRNA from 10 species
CACACUGGGGCCUGUCAGGGGUGGGGGGCUGGGGGAGGGAUAGCAUUAGGAGAAAUACCUAAUGUAAAUGACAGGUUGAUAGGUGCAGCAAACCACCAUGGCACGUGUAUACCUGUGUAACAAACCUCCACAUUCUGCACAUGUAUCCCAGAACUUAAAGUAAAAAAAAAAAAAAAAAAAACCUUUGUUUACAUUUAAAAAAAAAUCCCAGUGACUCAGCACAGUGAGCGAGGAGCACAAUAGGGUGGUUACCCAGACAGGACGUCCAUCUAGGAGCCCUGCGGGAGGCAUGCAGGUAUUUCUCUGGAGGUCAUGCCUGGCAGGCGUCCACUGUUAGAGCCAGAGGACCCGGAGCAUUAUCUGAAUGAACUAAUGACCAACAGGCGGGCAGAAAUGAGUGCUGCGGAUUGAUAACAGGGACAGCCAGACCCCCUCCCAUCCCCACGAGGCAGAGGCACCAGGCCACCUGGCUUUCCCACACAUCAACCUCGUGCUCACACCCCACUCUGGAGACCACCAGCUUCGAGGCAAAAAGAGAGAACGACGUACAAUGGGGUAAAGCCUCCAUGUGUAGGCGAUGUUGUGAGGAAAGGGUGGCCGGUUGGAAGGGAACAUUUUUAAAUUGAGGUUAUUGUUUAUAUUUUCUCAUAAACAGCUUCUCUGUGGCCACAAGUUAUUUCGGUCAUUUUCACAGCUUCCUCAGAUAUCUGGAAAACCUUUCGACUCAUUAUUAAAAAAUAAAACAAGAUUACUUACUAAAACUUGGCCAAAAGCAUGGAAGAGCCUCCUUUUCAGAAAAUGACAGGAAAGUAGAUUUCUUAUCUAAAAGAGAAAUAUUAGGCUGGGCACAGUGGCUCACACCUGUAAUCCCAGCACUUUGGGAGGCCAAGGCAGGUGGAUCACCUGAGGUCAGGAGUUUGAAACCAGCCUGAAUAUGAUGACACCCCGUCUCUACGAAAAGUACAAAAAUUAGCUGGGCUUGGUGGCGGCCACCUAUAGUCCCAGCUACUCAGGAGGCUGAGACAGGAGAAUUCCUUGAACCCGGGAGGCGGAGGCUGCAGUGAGCCGAGAUCGCGCCACUGCACUCCAGACUGGGCAACAGAGCAAGACUCUGUCUCUAAAUAAAUAAAUUAAUUAAAUCGAAUUAAAUUAAAUAAGAGAAAUAUUAGGUUGAAAUCCUGUUCCUUAUGGGUCAAGCUAAUUCUUUUCAGUAUAUUAAAUAAUUUUUUUCCUUCUAUUUUUUUCCCUUUCCUUUCCAAAUCCCCCAGCAUCUUCCCUCAUCCACCCCAUUUCAAAGAGGGUUCUGCUUGCAGGAACUCAAAGCUCAGAGCUUUUAGCUUCCCAAAGCCCUAUUUCCAAACUAAAGCAAAGGUCCUUUAGAAUUUGCACGGCGGGCUGUGCAAAAUGAGAGAGAAGGAAAUCGCUGGCAGAAAUAUCCCCGAAGAAGGGAUUUCUCCCCCAAAGACCAGAAAGCAAUUCUUCUAGGUUAGGGGAAUGAGGAGACAUACAGAGAAAACAAGAGGCUUGGGAGUUCCUCAUGAAAGGACUGGACCUGGAGUGGCCAUGCAGGAGAGGUGCAAGGGACUUGGAGCCCCUGAAGCUUCAGGAGAGCUGCGUGGCCCAUGUCCUGCUGCACCGGCAGCCAUCACGCCCAUGAGCCCUGCCUGUGUCCAGAAACAGUGCUGCUGUCCUUGACCUCGUCACUCUGCAAGGACUUCGCUUCCCCAGCAGGCAGUUCACCUCUGGAUACCCCUCCCUGAUGCAAACUUUGCUCAUGUCAUGUCUAUCAAGAUCAAGAAAAUGGAGCCCAUAACUGAGAUCAGCACAUGGGUAAGGAAACUGCUGAAUGGAAGGAGCUCCAAGACCUGGAACUGAGACCGAAGCUGGCAACAUGGCGGGAUGUUGCACCCCCCACACACACGCUCACACGUGGUUUUCAUUCCUUCUUUCAUAUUACGGCGGGCGUGGAAUUACCAGUCAAUUUGACAUUUAUAAAUACAUUAACUAGCGCUUCCAAUUCUUCUCCUGCUUCCAAGUUUGUUCUCACCACCUCACAGAAAAUGCUGGGGACAGAAUUAAAUGCAGAGUAAUCUAAACAAGCUUUGAUAUGUCAUAUGUCUUUCCUACUGAAUAAGCUAAACCAACCAGGGUAAUUUAGUGAUACUUGGGCAAGAAAACUAGGAAUUACGCACACUUUCCUUUUCCAAAUUCCCCACAUGGAAGUCUGUGAAUUCUACUGCAAUUACAGUGGUAUAAUAAAAAAGAUAUGCUUGGCUUUUGUUCGUGUUCUUGGCAUAGACUUCCUAAAACCCUUGCAAUUCCUUGAGUGAUAGGAGUGUCUUUUGUUAUUCAUAAUGAGCCCUUUUCAAUUAUACCUGGGAUUAUGUGAGUGAAGUGGCUCUUGGCAGGACCCCUGGAUUGCCUCAGGAUGGGGGCUGGUUUGGUUGCCAGAGGAACCAAGCAUAUGAUUAGAGGGUAGAAAUUUUCACCAUCAUCCCCCCACCUCGGGGGAUAG